rfam:Pteropus alecto contig87378, whole genome shotgun sequence.
GUGGGGUACGGUGACAUGUGCCCAAUCACUGCAGGGGGGAAGAUUGUGGGCAUUCUGUGUGCCAUCGCAGGGGUGCUCACCAUUGCCCUCCCUGUGCCUGUCAUUGUCUCCAAC